rnacentral:tRNA from 1 species
GCCUGGGUGGCUCAGUUGGUUGAGUGUCUGACUUCAGCUCAGGUCAUGAUCUCACCAUUUGUGGGUUCGAGCCCCAUUUUGGGCU